AUUAUUAUUAUCAAAAAUUGUAUCAUUUAAAACUGUUGCAGUCCAGCAGAAAAGCAGAAAAGCACAGGCCAAUGCUUUUUUCCCCUCGCGUUUUCAUGUACUGCGAGCAAGCAUAGCUAUUUUGGUCGAACGAGGGCGCUCACUCAGAGGAGAUGUGCUGACAGGCGUUCGAGUAGGCUGUAUUUCCCUCAUCCAGCACACCCGAUGACAUUACAUUCAUUACCUCUAACUAAAUCAGCUGUCAUACGUUUACUAUCGAAUAAACCGGACCGACGAGCACUGAAGCCAUAUAAUACUUAUUGGUGCGACUAGACUUCUGCAGCCUCAAGGAAAUUCAUCCAGUGUGCUCGAAACAGAAUAAUAACCAUGUCACUGUAUCCAUCUCUAGAAGACAUGAAGGUGGAUAAGUUCAUGAAGGCACAGAACACCCCUACUGCGAGCCCAUUAAAGGCUUUACCUCUUCCAGAACCUGAGCCUUACUAUGAUGCAAAAUCUGAA